rnacentral:rRNA from 1 species
CCUACGGGAGGCAGCAGUGGGGAAUAUUGCGCAAUGGGCGCAAGCCUGACCCAGCAACGCCGCGUGAAGGAAGAAGGCUUUCGGGUUGUAAACUUCUUUUAAGAGGGAAGAGCAGAAGACGGUACCUCUGGAAUAAGCCACGGCUAACUACGGGCCAGCAGCCGCGGUAAUACGGAGGUGGCAAGCGUUGUCCGGUUUAACUGGGGGUAAAGGGCGCGUAGACGGGCUGACAAGUCAGAUGUGAAAUCCCGUGGCUCAACCACGGAACUGCAUUUGAAACUGUCGGUCUUGAGUGUCGGAGAGGCAGGUGGAAUUCCUAGUGUAGCGGUGAAAUGCGUAGAUAUUAGGAGGAACACCAGUGGCGAAGGCGGCCUGCUGGACGGCAACUGACGGUGAGGCGCGAAAGCGUGGGGAGCAAACAGGAUUAGAUACCCUUGUAGUC